GUUUGUUUAUUUAUUAUUAUUUAUUAUUUGGAAAUAGCAAGACUAAUUGUUUUUGUAGAAAAACUUUACAAAACGAGUAAAACACAUAUGACGGAAGAAGAUCAGUGUGUCUCUGGAGCCAGUAGCUGCAAAUUAUAAAGCCCAAAUAUGGAUUUGGAUAUGAAGAAAGGAACAAUUGUUAAGGUGGUUACUACAUUGUUGAUGGAAUCAUCCUCAUCUGAAAGUGAUGAUGAUGAUGAGGUAUUUUUUACGAAAUAUUGAUAAGAGAGGACAAACUUUUCCAUGAUGUUUUGCAUACUGCGAAGAAAAACAAAAGAAAUACGGUAAAAAAUACAUUGAAUGUAUUGUGCCUAUAUACACGGAGGAAGAGUUUAGAAGACAUUUCCGUAUAUCAAAAAGCCUAUUUAAAAGCCUACGUCAAAGGUUAUCCAACUAUGCCAUGUAUAAAAAAAUGCGUCCAGACAAGAAAUUCUCAGAAGAGACGAAUAUCCUGGUAUGUUUGGGGUUUGCCGGCCACGAGGCGUGCAGUUAUAGAGACAUUGCAGACCGAUUCGAUAUAUCUCUGUUUACGGUAGGUGCAAUUAUAUCAAGGAUAUCUCUCUUUUUGAGUUCGAUAAGUCCGGAAGUCAUAAAAUGGCCUACUAAGGAGGAAAAAAUAAGC